rnacentral:sRNA from 1 species
CAACGACCGAAAGGAGGUGAUCCAGUGUCUCAUUGCUACGGAGCGCGGUCCGCCGCGUCGGCCACCUGGAUCGCCGCUCCCGCGGGAGCGGCCGCCGCCUGACGGCGGUCGCCGGGUGGCCCUCGCGGCCCCGCGGCAAGGCAAUGGAAGGGUCGUUCCCUCGCGGGAGCGGCCC